AGCAAACAAAAAUUAGCCAGGCAUGGUGGCAUGUACCUCUGGUCCCAUCUACUUGAGGGGUUGAGGUGCGAGGAUCGCUUAAGUCAGGGAGGUUGAGGCUGAAGUGAGCUAUGAUCACACCACUGCACUCCAGCCUGGGUGACAGAGCGAGACCCUGUCUCAAAAAAAAAGGAAAAGGAAAUAUCAGACAGAGUAAUGUGACAGAGUGACUGGUUGGGGUGGGGGCUGCAGAGCUAGGAUGAUGGGGCCUUCCCUGUGUGCAGAGCUGAACGCAGGGAGGCUGCCUGCAGAUUGAGGGGUCAGGAGAAAGCUCGAGAGGAAGGAAUGGCAGGCACAGAUGUGCACGGGGACAAUCGCAUGCUUGGGGGUGUAGAGAGGCACAGGGUGCAGCGGGAAGGUGGACCACGAUGGCAGGGGUGGGCUGGGGUCUGAUCUGGAAGGGCCUUGAUGAUGCCGAUCAGGGGCUGGCUCUCAUUCUGCGUGCAGCAGGAAGUCGCUUGUGGGUUUUCAGCGGGAGAGGCACCCCGAGUCAUGUUUCACAAAGGUCACCCGGGCUACAGUGAGGCCAGGCGUGGAUGCAGGGAGGCCAGCGGGGGGCUGUGGCUGUGGCUGGGUGCUGGCAGGUGGGUGGAAGGGGGCUGGAGCAGCAGGUGGUGGGAGGGUUGCAAGGAGGGCCACCAUGUCGUGAUGAAAGGUUGGUGGGGGCGUGAAAGCAAGGGAGGAAUCAGGAUGGCUCCUUGGUUUCCCGUGUGAGCAUCCAAGAGGCGAGGGGCCUCCGCAGAAGCGCGGGUGGAAGGAAGGGAAGAGAAGGGAAGUCCGUCAUGCUGUGUGCAGCCCACCAUGCUGGGCUGCCUGUUAGAUCUCCAGGUGGAGCCUGGUGGGCAGCUUUCUCAUUUCCUCAACAGUCACAGAACACUGAAUACAGUCAGAUACACUCUGGAUGAGUGAGGGUAUGGCAGUGAGGAAAACAGUCCUGUCCUUAGGAACUUCCGUUCUAGCUGGCAGGAGGCAGAUGGUAAACCAAGUUACACAUGUGGGUCUGGUGGAUCUGAAGUGGUGGACGAGACAGCUAUGGAGGGAAUGGGGAAAGAAGUCCAAAGGACAGUGAGAGGGAGUAGCCAGGGAGGCAGGAGGAAAGUUGGGAGUGUGGGGAUAAGAGGUGUUCCAGGAGGAAGGAAGGGAUGACCUGUUAAAUGCCGAUGAGAGGCCAGGCAAGGCAGAGGCGGAGAACCGACCACUGGCUCUGGAGAGACGCAGUCACUUGAGUGAGAGUGGCUUAGUGGGGCGGUGGAGGCAAAAGAAUGGAAUGUUUUCCAUUUCAUCCUGCUCCCGGCCUGUCCCAGGAAAUCCUUCCCUAUCCCAGUCUGUUGCAUUUCACCCAGUCUGUGCAUCUAUCUGGCGUUUUGUGAGUCUCUGGGUGAGGUCCUAUAUCCUCCUCCAUCUCCCUCCUAAGCCAGUCCCUCCUCCAGGAGCUCUG
rnacentral:lncRNA from 1 species